UGGGGAAUAUUGCACAAUGGGCGCAAGCCUGAUGCAGCCAUGCCGCGUGUGUGAAGAAGGCCUUCGGGUUGUAAAGCACUUUCAGUCGUGAGGAAGGUGGUAGUGUUAAUAGCACUAUCAUUUGACGBUAGCGACAGAAGAAGCACCGGCUAACUCCGUG
rnacentral:rRNA from 1 species